UAUUACUUUUGAACCUCAAUUUGUUGAAUGCCACUGAUCAUGGUUAAGAAAAUCAACAACUAAUCAACCCAACAGUCAUUGGUUCAGACUACACUGAACACAUAAUUUAAAAAUAUGGUAAAUCACUUAAGAAAAUAUUUUGUCACGACAUAACUGCCUCUUUGACUUGUACCUCACAAUCAUUUUUGAUUCAUACCUUAAAAUGUAUAGAAAAGUAAUAGAAAUGUUUUGAUUUUUGUUAGUUAAAAGUCUGUCCUAAGAAUGUAUGUAUAUCAACAGUAUCCACUAGAACAGAUUUAUUUGCCAGGGACCCAAAUAAAGUCUUACUAACAGAUUUCUUUGUUAGCGUAAGGAACGUUGAACCUUUAGCCAAGACCAUCAAACUUCUUAACAAAACCAACCAAUGCACGUAAAUUACUGUUAGUGAAGAUUUUAUUGAAGAUCUUUUGGGUUGAAAUAUUCAAAAAAGGUAAUUGAAUAUUGAAAAAUUUCAAACUUCCGAUGUAUUAAAAAACAGGACUUGCUUAUUAAACACAACAGAAAAAAAGCAUUUGAAAAGAAGUUUAUUCAGUGCGAUUGAAAUUAAAUUUGUCAUUGACAUUUUUUUUAUGGAAGUUGCAAUAAUGUAUUAAAAAACAGGACUUGCUUAUUAAACACAACAGAAAGAAAAGCAUUUGAAAAGAAGUUUAUUCAGUGCGAUUGAAAUUAAAUUUGUCAUUGACAUUUUUUUUAUGGAAGUUGCAAUAAUGUAUUAAAAACAGGACUUGCUUAUUAAACACAACAAAAAAAAAGCAUUUGAAAAGAAGUGUCAUUGACAUUUUUUUUUAUGGAAGUUGCAAUAUUUAAAUUAUUUUUUUGAAUUACUGGAAAUAAGUUUCUUAUAAAAUGCUUUUUUUUCUAUAACUGACCAUUUGAUUGUGAAUUUUUUUUAGAUAAACAUCUAUGUCAACAUACUAUACCUUGUGAUGUAAUUUCAUAUUCAUUGCUCUUGAACUUCUUGUUUACCUAUUCUCAUAUUUGGGUGAUAACUUGAUUUCUAUGUAUUUGCAGUAAAGAUAGCUGUCAAGAUAAAAUAGAGCCGGAAGAUCAAGAUCUAGAGCCUUUAUCAUAUGCAGAACAAUUCCCAGUGCCUAAAUGAUUUAUAUGGAUGUAAGGAACUUAAAACUUCUGUGAUAAAAUUUAUGACAGCAGGCCAAGUAAUUAAUGACUAAAUUGGUGAGAAUGACUUUGAAU
rnacentral:lncRNA from 1 species